rnacentral:rRNA from 1 species
CGACAGGCUUAACACAUGCAAGUCGAGGGGCAGCGGGGAGUGGCAACACUCCGCCGGCGACCGGCGCACGGGUGAGUAACGCGUAUGCAACCUGCCCAUGAGUGGGGGAUAGCCCAUCGAAAGAUGGAUUAAUACCCCAUGACACAGGGGUCCCGCAUGGGGAUAUUUGUUAAAGGAGCGAUCCGCUGAUGGAUGGGCAUGCGUCCUAUUAGGUGGUUGGCGGGGUAACGGCCCACCAAGCCGACGAUAGGUAGGGGUUCUGAGAGGAAGGUCCCCCACAUUGGUACUGAGACACGGACCAAACUCCUACGGGAGGCAGCAGUGAGGAAUAUUGGUCAAUGGGCGAUGGCCUGAACCAGCCAAGUCGCGUGAGGGAUGAAGGGUCUAUGGCUUGUAAACCUCUUUUACAAGGGAAUAAAGUCGGGGACGUGUCCCCGUUUGCAUGUACCUUGUGAAUAAGCGUCGGCUAACUCCGUGCCAGCAGCCGCGGUAAUACGGAGGAUGCGAGCGUUAUCCGGAUUUAUUGGGUUUAAAGGGUGCGUAGGUGGCCGUUUAAGUCUGUGGUGAAAUCCCGUGGCUCAACCAUGGAACCGCCGUGGAAACUGGAUGGCUUGAGUACGUUUGGGGCAGGCGGAAUGCGUGGUGUAGCGGUGAAAUGCAUAGAUAUCACGCAGAACCCCGAUCGCGAAGGCAGCCUGCCAAGCCGUGACUGACACUGAUGCACGAAAGCGUGGGUAUCGAACAGGAUUAGAUACCCUGGUAGUCCACGCAGUAAACGAUGAUCACUGGGGGUUUGCGAUAGACAGUAAGCCCCUGAGCGAAAGCGUUAAGUGAUCCACCUGGGGAGUACGCCGGCAACGGUGAAACUCAAAGGAAUUGACGGGGGCCCGCACAAGCGGAGGAACAUGUGGUUUAAUUCGAUGAUACGCGAGGAACCUUACCCGGGUUUGAACGUGGUUGGACAGUCCUUGAAAGAGGAUCUCUAGCGAUAGCCGACCACGAGGUGCUGCAUGGUUGUCGUCAGCUCGUGCCGUGAGGUGUCGGCUUAAGUGCCAUAACGAGCGCAACCCUCGCCGCCAGUUGCCAGCAGGUAGAGCUGGGGACUCUGGCGGGACUGCCAGCGUAAGCUGCGAGGAAGGCGGGGAUGA